rfam:Rattus norvegicus chromosome 14, whole genome shotgun sequence.
GGGGAUUUGGCUCAGUGGUAGAGCGCUUGCCUAGGAAGCGCAAGGCCCUGGGUUCGGUCCCCAGCUCCA